UUCAGUUUGCUGGUCCACAAUGCAUAUUUUGCACCCUGCCAACAGAGGCUACUGCAGUGCAUCUCCAAGCAAAGCAUAUAAGGGAUGCUGUUCAUUUUCGUGAUGGAGACGCAGAGAAAAUGGUGCUGGCAUGUUUUUGCAAGGACAUCCAACAAACUCACAGAUCACACACUCAUUGUCCCUUUUGCAAUUACCGGGUUUUUGCAAGAAUUUGGAGCUUCAGGAAACACCUCCUACAAAUUCACGGGAUUGAAUCAUCCAAGAAAAGAGAAACAACUCAAAAGGACAAUGCUGCCACUGAGAAAUCCGGUGAAAUAACACAAGAAACGGUUUCCCCGAAAGAGAAACCUUUUCCAUGUGUAUAUUGCCCUGUAUUCUUUACAACCUCUGCCAA